rnacentral:rRNA from 1 species
CCUACGGGAGGCUGCAGUGAGGAAUAUUGGUCAAUGGGAGAGAUCCUGAACCAGCCAAGCCGCGUGAGUGAAGACGGCCCUAUGGUUUGUAAACCUCUUUUGUCGGGGAACAAAACCCGGGACGUUUCCCGGACUGCGUGUAUCCGACGAAAAAGCAUCGGCUAACUCCGUGCCAGCCGCCGCGGUAAUACGGGGGAUGCGGGCGUUAUCCGGAUUUAUUGGGUUUAAAGGGUGCGUAGGCGGUCCGUUAAGUCAGCGGUAAAAUUGCGGGGCUCAACCCAGUCGGGCCGUUGAAACUGGCAGACUUGAGUUGGCGAGAAGUACGCGGAAUGCGAGGUGUAGCGGUGAAAUGCAUAGAGAUCGCGAAGAACUCCGAUUGCGAAGGCAGCGUACUGGCGACAGACUGACGCUGAGGUACGAAAGCGUGGGGAUCGAACAGGAUUAGAUACCCCAGUAGUC